rnacentral:rRNA from 1 species
UACAGAGGUCCCAAGCGUUGUUCGGAUUCACUGGGCGUAAAGGGUGCGUAGGUGGUGAGGUAAGUCGGAUGUGAAAUCUCCAGGCUCAACCUGGAAAUGGCAUCGGAAACUACCUUGCUCGAGGUUUGGAGGGGGACUGGAAUACUUGGUGUAGCAGUGAAAUGCGUAGAUAUCAAGUGGAACACCAGUGGCGAAGGCGAGUCCCUGGACAAAACCUGACACUGAGGCACGAAAGCUAGGGGAGCAAAACAGG